AACGGAACAAAAAUAUAGGAUUAACUAAUGUAUUAUUUAAAACAGUAAGAUCAAAUAGUUAUUUUCAUUAAAAUAAAUAGACUAAAUAAUAAUUUUCAAAUGUUUGAAUUCUAAUAAUCAAAUAUUCUCACCUAUGAUCGUCCACUUCUUCCUACAACUAUAAAUACUGCAAGCCAUUUUUGGUAGAGGAGUUUUUCUUUUCAUUUCACAUUCAGUAGAUUGCAAGUCGCUGGCCAACACGGAUUAUUAACCCCGUAGCUCAUAAGAGACAAGCUUUAAGCUUAGCUUAUAAGAGUUCUCCAUUGUUAGUCCUGCUGCUUACCUCGUUAAUGGCUUUUGGCUUAAAACCGUCUUUUACAUAAAAGGGCCUCAUUUGAGGAAGUCUUGGUGCAGCUUCAAACCCUUCCUUGCUUGAAUAUUUAAGCUGGAUAAGCUUAUACGGUUAUAGCAUUCUCAGAGGAUGACAGAAUUCAAGCAACGACUUACCAUUGAUUGAGCCUUUAACAUAUUAUCAAGGUAGUUUAAAUAAAACACAACUUAGCAUUUGGUAGACAAAGUUCCACUCAAUCUAAAACUUCACUCUGCAUCCUUAAUCCCUAUUCAAAUGAAAAUUCUAAAUUGUUGUAGCUGAUUUACCAGUGGGAAUAGAAGAACAAAAACAUAUAUACGAAAGAGAAAUAAUUGAAACAGAAAAUAUAAUUCCAGUAAAUGCACUUUACCAGCCAUUUUCAAAGGCGACCUAAACCACUAGACAUUUUUACUGCCCAUAAAUGGACCACCCUUUUGGUUUAGAGAAACAUGAACUGCCUUGGCUGCCGCAACAGCAGAAUCUCCCCUCUUGACAAUUUUCUCAAGCUCUCCAACUUUCUCAGACAGCAGUCUGACGUUUGAGUUGGUGGACUGGACCAACUCAUUUGCAGUUUCCAGAGCCGUGCAUAACUUUAAAGUCAUAGCUGUCCAGGAGUGAUCUGUUCCAGCAAGUGCCUUGUUCAAGUGGCUGUAGUUUUCCUCGAAGAGCUUGUUAAGAUCCAGGGAGGAUUGAAGGGUAUCGUCAGAAUCAGGAAUUGAAGAUGAAGAAGGUGAACCCGCUUCUUUGUGGGAUCGGUGAUGAUCACCUGCUCUAAUAACAUCGUCUUCUUUCUCUCCAAGAUCGCUAAGCAAAUCCCCUAUGCACAGCAAU
rnacentral:misc_RNA from 1 species